GAUGGCGAAGGCAGGUUCUCUGGGCUGUAACUGACGCUGAGGAGCGAAAGCAUGGGGAGCGAACAGGAUUAGAUACCCUGGUAGUCCAUGCCGUAAACGUUGGGCACUAGGUGUGGGGACCAUUCCACGGUUUCCGCGCCGCAGCUAACGCACAUUAAGCCCCCCGCCUGGGGAGUACGGCCGCAAGGCUAAAACUCAAAGGAAUUGACGGGGGCCCGCACAAGCGGCGGAGCAUGCGGAUUAAUUCGAUGCAACGCGAAGAACCUUACCAAGGCUUGACAUGUUCUCGAUCGCCGUAGAGAUACGGUUUCCCCUUUGGGGCGGG
rnacentral:rRNA from 1 species